GAUGAACGCUGGCGGCGUGCCUAAUACAUACAAGUCGAGCGAACAGACAAGGAGAUAGAUAAUCUAACAAUAGCGGCGGACGGGUGAGUAACACGUGGAUAACCUACCUAUAAGACUGGGAUAACUUCGGGAAACCGGAGCUAAUACCGGAUAAUAUAUUGAACCGCAUGGUUCAAUAGUGAAAGACGGUUUUGCUGUCACUUAUAGAUGGAUCCGCGCCGCAUUAGCUAGUUGGCAAGGUAACGGCUUACCAAGGCAACGAUGCGUAGCCGACCUGAGAGGGUGAUCGGCCACACUGGAACUGAGACACGGUCCAGACUCCUACGGGAGGCAGCAGUAGGGAAUCUUCCGCAAUGGGCGAAAGCUUGACGGAGCAACGCCGCGUGAGUGAUGAAGGUCUUCGGAUCGUAAAACUCUGUUAUUAGGGAAGAACAAAUGUGUAAGUAACUAUGCACGUCUUGACGGUACCUAAUCAGAAAGCCACGGCUAACUACGUG
rnacentral:rRNA from 1 species